rnacentral:rRNA from 1 species
GACGAACGCUGGCGGCGUGCUUAACACAUGCACGGCGAACGGAGGGGAGAACAGGUGAGUAACCCGUGGGUGACCUGCACUGCACUACGGGAUAAUCCUGGGAAACUGGGUCUAAUACCGGAUAGUGUGGGAUGGGCCAGCGGCCUAUCAGCUUGUUGGGGGGUUAAUGGCCUACAAAGGCGGGGACGGUUAGCCGGCCUGAGAGGGUGGACGGCCACAUUGGGACUGGAACACGGGCCAGACUCCUACGGGAGGCAGCAGUAGUGAAUAUUGCACCAUGGGCGGAAGCCUGAUGCAGCGACGCGGCGUGGGGGAUGACGGCCUUCGGGUUGUAAACUCCUUUAACCAUCGACGCGGUAGAUGGAGAAGAAGCACCGGCUAACUACGUGCCAGCCGCCGCGGUAAUUC